rnacentral:rRNA from 1 species
CCCCCCCCCCAUAAGAGGUCCAGCCUGCCCAGUGACCUAGUUCAACGGCCGCGGUAUCCUAACCGUGCGAAGGUAGCGUAAUCACUUGUUUUCUAAAUAAAGACUAGUAUGAAAGGCAUCACGAGAACUGAACUGUCUCCCUUUUCCAAUCAGUGAACCUAAUCUCCCCGUGAAAAAGCGGGGAUUGUCUAAUAAGACGAGAAGACCCUAUGGAGCUUUAAACACUAUAACACCUGCUAAACUAAACAUUCAAAUGUUUCACGUGCACCAUGAUUAUCUGUUUUCAGUUGGGGUGACUGCGGAGAAAAACCCACCCUCCGCGAUGAAAGGCCUUACACCUAAACAAUAAGUCACAACUUUAAGUAUCAACAAACUGACACCUUUGACCCAAUAUAUUGAUUAACGAACCAAGUUACCCUAGGGAUAACAGCGCAAUCCACUUCGAGAGCCCCUAUCGACAAGUGGGCUUACGACCUCGAUGUUGGAUCAGGGUAUCCCAGUGGUGCAGCCGCUACUAAAGGUUCGUUUGUUCAACGAUUAAAACCCCACGUGAUCUGAGU